GUCUACGGCCAUACCACCCUGAACACACCCGAUCUCAUCUGAUCUUGGAAGAAGCUGUUGGCCGAUAUAAACAUUGAGAUAGUAUUAUUCUUGAAGGAAUAUAUUUGCUGCAUUAUAGACU
rnacentral:rRNA from 1 species